GAUGAACGCUGGCGGCGUGCUUAACACAUGCAAGUCGAACGAGAAGUGAAGACGGAACCCUUCGGGCGGAAGGCUUUAUUUCGAGUGGCGGACGGGUGAGUAACGCGUGGGUAACCUGCCUCAUACAGGGGGAUAACAGUUGGAAACGACUGUUAAUACCGCAUAAGACCACAGCACCGCAUGGUGCGGGGGUAAAAACUCCGGUGGUAUGAGAUGGACCCGCGUUCGAUUAGCCAGUUGGCGGGGUAACGGCCCACCAAAGCGACGAUCGAUAGCCGAUCUGAGAGGAUGACCGGCCACAUUGGGACUGAGACACGGCCCAAACUCCUACGGGAGGCAGCAAUGGGGAAUAUUGCACAAUGGGGGAAACCCUGAUGCAGCGACGCCGCGUGAGUGAAGAAGUAUUUCGGUAUGUAAAGCUCUAUCAGCAGGGAAGAAAAUGACGGUACCUGAGUAAGAAGCCCCGGCUAACUACGUG
rnacentral:rRNA from 1 species